UGCGAGUCCAGAGCUUUCGGAGCUCGGCGUACCGCUCAGUAACACGUGGGUAACCUAACCUAUGCAGGGGAAUAACCUCGGGAAACUGAGUAUGAUGCCCCAUAGUCCACUACGCCUGGAACGGUGAGUGGAUCAAAGCUCAGGCGGCAUAGGAUGGGCCUGCGGCGUAUCAGGUUGUAGGGGGUGUAAAGUACCCUCUAGCCAUCUACGCGUACGGGUGUUGGGAGACAUAGCCCGGAGAUGGAUUCUGAGACACGAAUCCAGACACUACGGGGUGCAGCAGGCGCGAAAACUUGACAAUGCGAGCAAUCGUGAUCAGGGAACUCCAAGUGGCUGGGGUAAGACCCAGUCUUUUCAUAACUCUUCAAAGGUUGUAGAAUAAGGGGUGGGUAAGGACGGUGCCAGCCGCCGCGGUAAUACCGGCGCCUCAAGUGGUAGUCGCUUUUAUUGGGCCUAAAACGUCCGUAGCCGGUUUGGUACAUUCGUGGGUAAAUCAACUCGCUCAACGAGUUGAAUUCUGCGAGGACGGCCAGACUUGGGACCGGGAGAGGUGUGGGGUACUCUCGGGGUAGGGGUAAAAUCCUGUCAUCCUGAGAGGACCACCUGUUGCGAAGGCGCCACACUAGAACGGAUCCGACGGUCAGGGACGAAGCCUAGGGGCACGAACCGGAUUAGAUACCCGGGUAGUCCUAGGUGUAAACGCUGUGGACUUGAUGUUGGGGGUGCUCCGAGCACUCUCAGUGUCGAAGCGAAGGUGAUAAGUCCACUGCCUGGGAAGUACGGUCGCAAGGCUGAAACUCAAAGGAAUUGACGG
rnacentral:rRNA from 1 species